GGUUCCCCCUUGCUCCACCACUCCAGGUUUCUGUGUCCGUGCUCCCACGCGCACCCUGUGUCUUUACCCCCACGCUCCAGUUGCCUCCGCGUUCUGUCUGGAUUCCCUCGUAUCCACGCGUCAACACUUUCCUUCCCUGUGACUCUCCAGGCAGGCUGCAUUCACAGGCACACUGGAAACCCGCCGAUGGCUUCGGUGCUCUGCAAGAUCAUGUCCGCCAGCAGAAAGCAGAAGCCUGGCAGGAGGGGAGUGCAGAGCCGGGGAAGGAAGGAACGAGAAGGGUAAAGCCAGCCAUCCGAAAAAGUAGGACCAGGAGAAGAAGACUUCUGGCUUCCAGGCAUUCCUUGCAGUAUACCCGAUCAAUGCAAUCAGCAGCAGCAGCCCUGGGCCACGCCCACCCGUCAGGUGACCAGGCAAAUGCUGAUCUCUUCUGGCUGCCAUCACGUGCCUCUCUCCAGGAGAGCCCUCUCUCCUCAAGGAUAUCAACCCUGACAUCUGAGAAAGCAACCAAAAUGCCACGUCUAGCCCCAGGCUCCUCAUCUGAUCCCUAGAGAGGAGCCCUCUCCUGCCCCUGGCUCUCCUCCAUGGCCACUCAGCCACAUCGCCACCAAGAUCACUGGCUUCCCUCAAACUUGAUGUGUCACUCACUUUGUCCAGCCAGAGCCUCAGGUGCUUUCCUUGCUUCCUUUGUGCCUCUGACCCCAGGGCCUGUGCCUUCCUACCUGCUCUUCAACCUUCCGAUCUCACCCGCAGGCCACUGGAGGGAGACCUCUCUCACAUUUGGGAGAGCUUCUCCCCUUCUUACAGUUAUUGCUCAACUUCCACCAUCUCCAGGAGAAAGAUAGUUGUGGCAAUAGAGGCCCUGGAUCCCACCUUCUUCCUACCACCCCCACAUUCUAUAUUCCGGGAAACAAAUGGCCACUUUCCAUACCCUGUCCAUGUCUCCAUCUUCAGGCACCUCUUCCUGGAUAGUAUCAUUCCUGUGCUAAUGAGUGUUUGUAAUCCUAAUACUUGAGAGGCUGAAGCAGGAGGAUUGCUGAGAAUUUCAAGAACUGUGUGGCACAUUAUGGAUACCUUAUGCAAAAAGUAUAGGAACUCUGGGGAUAAGGCUUGGUGGUUGAGGGCUUGCUUUAGCUGGCAGGAAGCUCUGUGUGCCAUCUUCUAUGUUAAACCAAAAUAACAGUUGUUAAAUGUCAUCUCCAGUAAAGAUGACAUGACAGGCCUGGGCUUAGGUUUCCUCCCACAUCCUCAGGCUGUGGCUGUCAUCUUGCUGGUGUCAUAUGCUGGUGGUUAAGGCUUGGGUGUGAUACAUAUCAGUGGACCCAAAGUGGACCCACAGAAGGGUGGGGGAGAGCGGAAUCGCUAGUAAAGGAGGGAAGAAAAGAGAAAGAUAGAAACCGAGAGAAAGAAAAGCACUAUUGGGGGUCGAGAGACACAGGGCAGAAUAUGCUGUAGGCGGGCAGGUGUGCGUCUCUCUUAGCCUCCCUGAGAGUUCCUGUGUCACCCACCACAAGGCUUACGUAUGGUUGGCUUAGGGACGGGGCUGCAGCAUGGACCUCAUUCAUGCUCAGCACCACCCCAGCCUUCUGGUUGAUGUCUGCCUUGGUGAAGGCUCUGACUUCGUUGCAUAGGCCAGCCUUGAACUCACCAUGUAGCCCAGGCAGGCUUUGAACCUGGAAACUCCUUGCUCCAGCCUCCUGAGUAACUGCGAUGAUAGGCCUGGCCUGGCUUAUGACUUGGCUGAACUGAUAGAUCUGAACAGUUAGAUCUCAGC